ACCAGGGAAACCACCACCGCGACAACGAAACGCACCUGGGCUUUGAAUUAACUUGGGUCAAACAAGAUCAGGUGGGACCAUUCUAGCCAAUGAGAGGGCAAAACAACAGUGAAACAACGAAGUCGUUUUUCUCAAAGUUACCGAUUUUGGGAAGAGUAAAGCCUGUCCCUUCGCUUCUUCCUCUCUGCCUGUGUCUACCUGCUCAACGACCUCCCUGCUACUACUCCCUCCUCGAGGAUGAAUCAGGAAAAAUGCUGUCCUGCUCCGCUCCCCUUUGGCACCAGCUCCUGCCACUACAAAAGAGGAUUCAUUUAAAGAGUUCCUGCUGGAUACAGAUCUUCCAAGUACACCUCUGCCAGCCACAUCACCACUGCCAUUGACAGCUUCUCCACUGGACCCAUCAAGAGAUGAGGUUGCCUCUUCAUUUUGGACCACGACCGAUGGACAGAGCCCAUUAAAGCUGCCAGUGAUGUCCUACUGGCCAAACACCAUGGGGAGGAAGAGAUCCUGAAGUGGGUAGAUUUGCUUUGCUCUCAACACCAGCCCAGAGAAGCUCCUAGAGACACACAGCUGUGGCAUUAUUUUACUGCAGAGUAAAAUGGUCAAUGUCCCGGUCACGUCCCCUACAACCUGCACUUACACAGCAGAAAGCCUCACCCAAUUCAAGGAUGCCAUUUCAGUAUUUUGCUGCCGCUGCCUUCUUUCAGUGGGAGCUGGAGGCCUCAAAGCAGAGGGAGGCAGUGAGGAAGGAGUAAACUGAGGAAAAAUAAAAUCCCCUCUCUACAUCUGUACAGGUUCUGCCACCAGUCGCUGAAACAAGGCUCCAACAGCCAUCACACACAUACCGGCUUUCCUUGAGUGGCAGGAAAAUAUCUACUGCCUAGCCAAAGUUUUUUCUCUGUACCUGAUACAGGGCAUUGGCGGAUGCGCCAACAGUCUGCCUUUUUAUGAGACUGACAAGUAGAGAUGGAUGGUGGGGAAGGGAGAGUGACUGAAGUAAAUAGGAGCUGAAAAUGUCCAUUGAUGGAAGUGGUUUGUUUGAUUUGUAUUUAUUUCACAGGUACUGUCCAUUCUUUUACUUUACUGUACAUAAAUUGCUGGAUAUCACUGGAUAUACAGUAUUAUCAGGGCUGUAUAGUACUUAGGUAAAAAUACUUUAAAGUACUACUUAAGUAUUUUUUGGGGGGUGUCUACUUCACUAAUUAUAUUUUUGACAACUUUUACUUUUACUUCACUACAUUCCUAAAAAAAUAUAUACAUUUUCCCAGGCACCCAAAAGAACUCAUUACAUUUUGAAUGCUUAGCAGGAAAGGAAAAUGGUCCAAUUAAUGCACUUAUCAGGAGAAUCUCUACUGCCUCUGAUCUGGCGGACUCACUAAACACAAAUUCUUCCUAUGUAAAUGAUGUCUGAGUGUUGGAGUGUGCCCCUAGCUGUCUGUAAAUUUGAGAAAAAAAACACAUUGUGUUGUCUGGUUUGCUUAAAAUAAGGAAUUUGAAAUUAUUUAUACUUUUACUUUUGAUACUUAAGUAUAUUUUAGCAAUUACAUUUACUUUUGAUACUUAAGUGUAUUUAAAACCAAAUACUUUUAGACUUUUACUCAUGUAGUAUUUUACUGGAUAACUCACUUCUACGGAGUCAUUUUCUAUUAAGGUAACUUUACUUUUACUCAAGUAUGAUUUCGUUAAAUUAAACCUCAACGUACAGCAAAUCUUCUCUUGUUUUUUCAUGUUGUCUUUAUAUAUGCAUUACAAUGACAAAUGCAACGUCCUCCAAAUGCAAGAUGUCCUCCAGCAAUGUCUGAAGUUUUACUUUUGAGCAAUAUCCCAACUAUAAAUACAGUAAAGUACACAGGUUACAAAAUACAUUUUUAACAAAAUAAUGUUUUUUUAGACAGAACGUUUCAGUCAUUCAAGGUGUUGGUCUGAUGGGAAUUUGUGAUUUAAUCUUGCUUGAGGAACAAUAGGGAACAAAAGAGGAAAGCCCCCACUUUUGUUAUGUCAUGACUUACCUGGAACACCUAUUGAGAUGUGCCUCUUGUUAAGUAAAUCAGGUGUUACAUGAGGUGUAAAGGAGUGCCAUUUUUAAGAAAAUAAAAAGCUAUGUAUUUACAUUCCCAUAUCAAACCGUUUACACUAAACAGACAUAAAA
rnacentral:lncRNA from 13 species